UAAUUAAGUUAGAUUUAAAUUAGUCUAAUUGGACCUAACUUAUUUGGUUCAAUUAUGUUGGUUUAAAUAAUUAAACCACCUUGACCCAAUCUCCAUGCGCCACCUCACUUCCAUUGCACCCAUUUGGAUUCAUGAGAAGGAACUUCUCAUGAAUUUUUUCCUCACACCAAGCCCUCUCCACGCCCCACUUUAAUGUGCCAAAUGAAUGG
rnacentral:lncRNA from 1 species